rnacentral:rRNA from 1 species
GUGGGGAAUAUUGGACAAUGGGCGCAAGCCUGAUCCAGCCAUGCCGCGUGAGUGAUGAAGGCCUUAGGGUUGUAAAGCUCUUUCGUCAGGGAAGAUAAUGACGGUACCUGAAGAAGAAGCCCCGGCUAACUUCGUGCCAGCAGCCGCGGUAAUACGAAGGGGGCUAGCGUUGCUCGGAAUCACUGGGCGUAAAGCGCACGUAGGCGGCUUUCUAAGUCAGGGGUGAAAUCCUGGAGCUCAACUCCAGAACUGCCUUUGAUACUGGAGAGCUUGAGUUCGGGAGAGGUGAGUGGAACUGCGAGUGUAGAGGUGAAAUUCGUAGAUAUUCGCAAGAACACCAGUGGCGAAGGCGACUCACUGGCCCGAUACUGACGCUGAGGUGCGAAAGCGUGGGGAGCAAACAGGAUUAGAUACCCCAGUAGUCC